rnacentral:lncRNA from 1 species
CUAUAUACUCCACUCCUUUUUACCUUGAUGGUAUUCCAUGCAGGUUCUUAUACUGCACCCAAGACUGUGGUGUCUGAACACCUCAUACAGCUAAGCACCCAUCAAGAACAAGACCUAAGCCUAGCCUUCAGUGUGGUUUUGCUUGUGCUCCAAGGAGCCGACGGAGAGAGGGAGUGGAGAAGCCGGCUGAAACUAUCCCUGCUGCCCCGGCAGGAUGACCAGCUGAGCUGGGAAAGACAAGGAAGCACGCGCAAGUGACUAGAAAAACAGAAUCUCGCCCUAAUCAGAAACCCAUCUGCUCCUUCUCUGUGAUGCUGUGGUUAAGUAACAAUGUUGAAUUUAUGGCACCUUCCAGAGGGAAAGACGACAGAUACCAUGAAUGUAACAAUCCCAUUUCUCUUCUGGGUCAUGCAGAAAGGGUAC